rnacentral:rRNA from 1 species
UACGGAGGGGGCUAGCGUUGUUCGGAAUUACUGGGCGUAAAGCGCACGUAGGCGGCUUGGUAAGUUAGAGGUGAAAGCCUGGAGCUCAACUCCAGAAUUGCCUUUAAGACUGCCGAGCUAGCAGGUGAGAGAGGUGAGUGGAAUUCCGAGUGUAGAGGUGAAAUUCGUAGAUAUUCGGAAGAACACCAGUGGCGAAAGCGGCGUGCUGGACACCUUCUGACGCUGAGGCGCGAAAGCCAGGGGAGCGAACGGG